rnacentral:rRNA from 1 species
CCUACGGGAGGCAGCAGUGGGGAAUUUUGGACAAUGGGCGCAAGCCUGAUCCAGCAAUGCCGCGUGAGUGAAGGAGGCCUUCGGGUUGUAAAGCUCUUUUGUCAGGGAAGAAACGGUGGUUCCUAAUACGGACUACUAAUGACGGUACCUGAAGAAUAAGCACCGGCUAACUACGUGCCAGCAGCCGCGGUAAUACGUAGGGUGCAAGCGUUAAUCGGAAUUACUGGGCGUAAAGCGUGCGCAGGCGGUUAUAUAAGUCAGAUGUGAAAUCCCCGGGCUCAACCUGGGAACUGCAUUUGAGACUGUAUGGCUAGAGUGUGUCAGAGGGGGGUAGAAUUCCACGUGUAGCAGUGAAAUGCGUAGAUAUGUGGAGGAAUACCGAUGGCGAAGGCAGCCCCCUGGGAUAACACUGACGCUCAUGCACGAAAGCGUGGGGAGCAAACAGGAUUAGAUACCCUGGUAGUCCACGCCCUAAACGAUGUCUACUAGUUGUCGGGACUUAAUUGUCUUGGUAACGCAGCUACGCGUGAGUAGACCGCCGUCGGGAGGUACGGUCGCGAGAGUAAACGUACGAAGAAGUAGAGGCGUGAGACGAGCGACGGACGACGACGAGGGAGGAGG